UACGAAGGGGGCUAGCGUUGCUCGGAAUCACUGGGCGUAAAGGGUGCGUAGGCGGGGCUUUAAGUCAGGGGUGAAAUCCUGGAGCUCAACUCCAGAACUGCCUUUGAUACUGAGGAUCUUGAGUACGGGAGAGGUGAGUGGAACUGCGAGUGUAGAGGUGAAAUUCGUAGAUAUUCGCAAGAACACCAGUGGCAAAGGCGGCUCACUGGCCCGUAACUGACGCUGAGGCACGAAAGCGUGGGGAGCAAACAGG
rnacentral:rRNA from 1 species